UAUGUGAUCGUCUCUCGCAUAUCAAUAAGCGGAGGAAAAGAAACUAACAAGGAUUCCCCUAGUAACGGCGAGUGAAGCGGGAAGAGCUCAAAUUUGAAAUCUUAAAGGGUUUCCCUUUACGAAUUGUAGUUUAAAGAAGUGUUUUCUGUUGAGGUUUUGGUAAAAGUUCUUUGGAAUAGGACAUCAUAGAGGGUGAGAAUCCCGUAUUUGACCUUUACUUUCAACUUUGUGAUACACUUUCAAAGAGUCGGAUUGUUUGGGAAUGCAGUCCAAAAUGGGUGGUAAAUUUCAUCUAAAGCUAAAUAUUGGCGAGAGACCGAUAGCGAACAAGUACCGUGAGGGAAAGAUGAAAAGAACUUUGAAAAGAGAGUUAAACAGUACGUGAAAUUGUCAAAAGGGAAGCGUUUGACACCAAUGUUGUUUUUCUGAAAAUCAAUUAAAGAACUGUUUAUGCUAAGUUGUUUAGACUUUAUCAGCUAUCUGCUUAGUUUUGAGCUUUUCUUUAAUGCACUUUUCAGUUAACAAGUCAACAUCAAUUUCUUUUGCUGUAAAAAAGCUUGAGGAAGGUGGCUUGAGAUUCGUCUUAAGUGUUUAUAGCCUCUUGCCUAUGCAGUCGGAGAGAUUGAGGUCUGCAGCGUAGAUCCUUCGGGGCUAAAUGCAUUUGUGCUAAGUUAUAGCAUUUUAUAGACAACUUGUUGACUAUGAUUUGUCUUGUAGCUUACUCGCUUAUGUUAUUUUACCUACGCUUAGGAUGUUGAUCUACAGAGCGAGAGU
rnacentral:rRNA from 1 species